UUUGGUGAUGAUGGCGGAAGGGAACCACGCGUACCCAUCCCGAACACGACCGUUAAGCCUUCCAGCGCCGAUGGU
rnacentral:rRNA from 1 species